GUCUAUGGCCAUAUUACCCUGAACAAACCCAAUCCUGUCUCAUCUUGGAAGCUAAGCAGGGUCGAGCCUGGUUAGUACUAGGAUGGGAGACCACCUAGGAAGACUGGGUGCUGUAGGUG
rnacentral:rRNA from 1 species